GAUGAACGCUGGCGGCGUGCCUAAUACAUGCAAGUCGAGCGAACAGACGCGGAGCUUGCUCCUCUGACGUUAGCGGCGGACGGGAGAGUAACACGUGUAUAAUCUACCUAUAAGACUGGGAUAACUUCGGGAAACCGGAGCUAAUACCGGAUAAUAUAUUGAACCGCAUGGUUCAAUAGUGAAAGACGGCUUUGCUGGCACGUAUAGAUGCAUCUCCGCGGCUUUAGCUGGUUGUGAAGUUAACGGCUUACGAAGGCUACCAUGCGUAGCCGACCUGCGAGGGGGAUCGCCGGCACUGGAGCGUGGACACGCUCCAUGCUCCUACGGGAGGCAGCAGUAUGGAACCGUACGCAAUGGGGGAAAGCCUUACGGAGCAGCGCCGCGUGAGUGAUGAAGGUCUUCGGAUCGUAAAGCUCUGUUAUUAGGGGAGAACAAAUGUGUAAGUAAAUGUGCAGGGCGUGACGGUACCUAGUCAGAAAGCCACGGCUAACUACGUG
rnacentral:rRNA from 1 species